ACCGGAUAACAACAUGAAUCGCAUGAUUCAAGUUUGAAAGGCGGCGCAAGCUGUCACUUUAGGAUGAGCCCGCGGCGCAUUAGCUAGUUGGUGGGGUAAAGGCCUACCAAGGCAAUGAUGCGUAGCCGAGUUGAGAGACUGAUCGGCCACAUUGGGACUGAGACACGGCCCAAACUCCUACGGGAGGCAGCAGUAGGGAAUCUUCCACAAUGGACGCAAGUCUGAUGGAGCAACGCCGCGUGAGUGAAGAAGGUYUUCGGAUCGUAAAGCUCUGUUGUUGGUGAAGAAGGAUAGAGGCAGUAACUGGUCUUUAUUUGACGGUAAUCAACCAGAAAGUCACGGCUAACUACGUGCCAGCAGCCGCGGUAAUACGUAGGUGGCAAGCGUUGUCCGGAUUUAUUGGGCGUAAAGCGAGCGCAGGCGGAAUGAUAAGUCUGAUGUGAAAGCCCACGGCUCAACCGUGGAACUGCAUCGGAAACUGUCAUUCUUGAGUGCAGAAGAGGAGAGUGGAACUCCAUGUGUAGCGGUGGAAUGCGUAGAUAUAUGGAAGAACACCAGUGGCGAAGGCGGCUCUCUGGUCUGCAACUGACGCUGAGGCUCGAAAGCAUGGGUAGCGAACAGGAUUAGAUACCCUGGUAGUCCAUGCCGUAAACGAUGAGCGCUAGGUGUUGGGGACUUUCCGGUCCUCAGUGCCGCAGCAAACGCAUUAAGCGCUCCGCCUGGGGAGUACGACCGCAAGGUUGAAACUCAAAGGAAUUGACGGGGGCCCGCACAAGCGGUGGAGCAUGUGGUUUAAUUCGAAGCAACGCGAAGAACCUUACCAGGUCUUGACAUCCUGCGCUACACYUAGAGAUARGUGGUUCCCUUCGGGGACGCAGAGACAGGUGGUGCAUGGCUGUCGUCAGCUCGUGUCGUGAGAUGUUGGGUUAAGUCCCGCAACGAGCGCAACCCUUGUCUUUAGUUGCCAUCAUUAAGUUGGGCACUCUAAAGAGACUGCCGGUGACAAACCGGAGGAAGGUGGGGAUGACGUCAAGUCAUCAUGCCCCUUAUGACCUGGGCUACACACGUGCUACAAUGGGCAGUACAACGAGAAGCRAACCCGCGAGGGUAAGCGGAUCUCUUAAAGCUGYUCUCAGUUCGGACUGCAGGCUGCAACUCGCCUGCACGAAGCUGGAAUCGCUAGUAAUCGCGGAUCAGCACGCCGCGGUGAAUACGUUCCCG
rnacentral:rRNA from 1 species